UACGUAGGGUGCAAGCGUUAAUCGGAAUUACUGGGCGCAAAGCGUGCGCAGGCGGCUUUGCAAGACAGAUGUGAAAUCCCCGGGCUUAACCUGGGAACUGCAUUUGUGACUGCACGGCUGGAGUGCGGCAGAGGGGGAUGGAAUUCCGCGUGUAGCAGUGAAAUGCGUAGAUAUGCGGAGGAACACCGAUGGCGAAGGCAAUCCCCUGGGCCUGCACUGACGCUCAUGCACGAAAGCGUGGGGAGCAAACAGG
rnacentral:rRNA from 1 species